CGUCAACCAAUUGGAGAGAAGUUAGCAAGUUUGGUUAAUCCAAGAUUAGCCCAUGACGAGAAAUUAAGAAGAGUGAAGACAAUUACUAGUCCUGUCUGGCAAUCAUAAUAUGCAAACAGGAAUUGGGCAAAUUAGGCCAUGAUACUGGCCAAAGUGAGUUACAGGGCUAGCUGGAUCUACCUGAUUGAGAAUUCACCCAUCUACCUACGGCCGCAGCCAAUCCCAAAGUGGAAAGAUGCCAAAGAUGAUUCACUUUACAUGGUGAAUGAAUGAAUGCUGUGUACAGAGUACUGGGAUGGGGCACACCCAGGGGCCUUCUGUAGAUCUGUCGCCCUCUAGUGUUAAUAAACCAGUAGAUGCAGCAGAAGCUGUGCUCACAUUGGCUCAGCCUAUGAACAUUAUCCAGUUAACCCCACACAGCUGCAUAUUUACCGCCUUGAGGACCGAAUAGUACAUAUGAGAGUAAAUUCAUUCAAUGGAGCAAGAUAAUAUUAAUAAUUGAUGACCAUAUGUA